rnacentral:rRNA from 1 species
GACGAACGCUGGCGGCGUGCUUAACACAUGCAAGUCGAACGGAAAGGCCCUGCUUUUGUGGGGUGCUCGAGUGGCGAACGGGUGAGUAACACGUGAGUAACCUGCCCUUGACUUUGGGAUAACUUCAGGAAACUGGGGCUAAUACCGGAUAGGAGCUCCUGCUGCAUGGUGGGGGUUGGAAAGUUUCGGCGGUUGGGGAUGGACUCGCGGCUUAUCAGCUUGUUGGUGGGGUAGUGGCUUACCAAGGCUUUGACGGGUAGCCGGCCUGAGAGGGUGACCGGCCACAUUGGGCCUGAGAUACGGCCCAGACUCCUACGGGAGGCAGCAGUGGGGAAUAUUGCACAAUGGGCGGAAGCCUGAUGCAGCAACGCCGCGUGCGGGAUGACGGCCUUCGGGUUGUAAACCGCUUUCGCCUGUGACGAAGCGUGAGUGACGGUACUGGGUAAAGAAGCACCGGCUAACUACGU